rnacentral:sRNA from 1 species
GUUAUUCCUUAUCUAUCUAAUCGUUGAUUAAUCUGGAACCUGUCCCAUUGCGCUCUUUGUUCUUCAUACUUUCGGCUGUCUCUUUGUUGGCUGCGCUUGCCGCCGCGAUACAUCCAAAAUUAUUUUGAACAACUAAAAGUGCAAUAAGACAGGUUCUGCGUUUAGUUGCCGCGCUCUAAAAAUGG